rnacentral:rRNA from 1 species
AACGAACGCUGGCGGCGUGCUUAACACAUGCAAGUCGAACGCGAAAGUUUUCUUCGGAAGACGAGUAGAGUGGCGCACGGGUGAGUAACGCGUAAGUUAUCUACCUCGGCAUCUGGAAUAACUCACCGAAAGGUGUGCUAAUACCGGAUACGUUGAGUAAUCAAGAAAGGUGGCCUCUGAAUAUGCUACUGUGCUGAGAUGAGCUUGCGUACCAUUAGCUAGUUGGUAGGGUAAUGGCCUACCAAGGCGACGAUGGUUAGCGGGUCUGAGAGGAUGAUCCGCCACACUGGAACUGGAACACGGACCAGACUCCUACGGGAGGCAGCAGUGAGGAAUAUUGCGCAAUGGGGGCAACCCUGACGCAGCGACGCCGCGUGGAUGAUGAAGGCCUUCGGGUCGUAAAAUCCUGUCAAGUGGAAAGAAGUGCAUGGUGGAUAAUACCCAUCAUGUUUGACGGUACCACUGAAGGAAGCACCGGCUAACUCCGUGCCAGCAGCCGCGGUAAUACGGAGGGUGCAAGCGUUGUUCGGAAUUACUGGGCGUAAAGCGCGCGUAGGCGGUUUUAUAAGUCAGAUGUGAAAGCCCAGGGCUCAACCCUGGACGUGCAUUUGAAACUGUGAGACUUGAGUAUUGGAGGGGGUGGUGGAAUUCCCGGUGUAGAGGUGAAAUUCGUAGAUAUCGGGAGGAAUACCAGUGGCGAAGGCGACCACCUGGCCAAAUACUGACGCUGAGGUGCGAAAGCGUGGGGAGCAAAUAGGAUUAGAUACCCUGGUAGUCCACGCCGUAAACGAUGUCAACUAGGUGUUGGGACGGUUAAUCGUCUCAUUGCCGCAGCUAACGCAUUAAGUUGACCGCCUGGGGAGUACGGUCGCAAGAUUA